UGCACAGAAGUCUGCAGCUC
rnacentral:misc_RNA from 1 species